AGAAUCAACGCUGGCGGCGUGCCUAACACAUGCAAGUCGAACGAGAAAGUGGAGCAAUCCAUGAGUAAAGUGGCGCACGGGUGAGUAACACGUGACUAACCUACCCUUGAGUGGGGGAUAACCUAGAGAAAUCUGGGCUAAUACCGCAUAAUACCUUCGGGUCAAAGGAGCAAUUCGCUUAAGGAGGGGGUCGCGGCCGAUUAGUUAGUUGGCGGGGUAAUGGCCCACCAAGACUAUGAUCGGUAUCCGGCCUGAGAGGGCGCACGGACACACUGGAACUGAAACACGGUCCAGACUCCUACGGGAGGCAGCAGUGGGAAUUUUGCGCAAUGGGGGAAACCCUGACGCAGCAACGCCGCGUGGAGGAUGAAGUCCCUUGGGACGUAAACUCCUUUCGAUCGGGACGAUAAUGACGGUACCGAGAGAAGAGCCCCGGCUAACUUCGCGCCAGCAGCCGC
rnacentral:rRNA from 1 species